UACGAAGGGGACUAGCGUUGUUCGGAAUCACUGGGCGUAAAGCGCACGUAGGCGGCUAUGUCAGUCAGGGGUGAAAUCCCGGGGCUCAACCUCGGAACUGCCCUUGAUACAGCAUGUCUUGAGUCCGAUAGAGGUGGGUGGAAUUCCUAGUGUAGAGGUGAAAUUCGUAGAUAUUAGGAAGAACACCGGUGGCGAAGGCGGCCCACUGGAUCGGUACUGACGCUGAGGUGCGAAAGCGUGGGGAGCAAACAGG
rnacentral:rRNA from 1 species